ensembl:lncRNA
GCACACGGGGAGAAAUCACACCCAGGUGUGUUGUUCCCAUCCCUCUGCCAUCAGCUUGUGCUUACUGGCCUUACAGAGGGCAACUGGCUGUGGAGGACCCCAAUGAGACAGAGAGAUGCUCUUCACUGUGUCAGCUACUAGGAGGAAAAUACAGGAAAUGUGACAAUACAGAAAACAACAUGGUAGCUGCAGAAGAAUACCCAUCACACACAGCAUUUGGAUGCCACAUGGAAUUCAGAAGCAGUGCUUUCCAAAGCUCAUCCAGCACUCACGCAGUACAUCUCGGUGAGAGAAGGUUUGAGCAAUGCCAGUAAUAUCUGCUCGUCUUUUAACACAAAUAAUAUCAAAUAAAUUAAAACCAAAGUUGAAAAUGUAAUUGUUUUCUGUGACCUUGGAAGCGUUGACACAAACAGAAGUAUCAGAAUUCUUUUCAUAGCUGCUAAUAGGCAGCUGGAAAUAAAAAAAUGAUGACAAUGGAUUUUCUAAGACGGGGUAUAAGCCUGCAUUGGGAACCUAAGAGGCACAGGAACACUUACAAAUCAAACUGGCAACACAUUAUCACUGGCAGAUGGCAACACCAAUGUUAGCUGGGGGAGGGACGCUUUGCUUACAGAGCAACAGAGCAGGCAGAUGAAGAAUGGCUUUCAGACAAUUUGCAGUGCGUGUCAGAUAUGUCCUUGUAAUUCUGAAGACUGCAAAAGACUUUAAAUCCUUUAUCUGUCAUCUGAGCAAAAUUCUAGGACUACAAGACAUUUAAUCAGCUUCAGAAACAAGAAAGCUUCUGCAAAAUGGUUAUCUCCAAACCCCAACAGCACAGAUGCAAUACUGAAAGUUAUCUUUUUACAUUACAGCUGCAAAAGUUUACAGAUGCCAAAGGCAGGAAGGAGGCUGGAGACACUGCCAGGGACCAAAACUCAGAUGGCUUUUUUUCAUAGCGUGCUCAAUGAUUUAUGACGCAGUGCUCUUUCUCAUAGUUGAACAGCUGUAAUUUAUGUGUAUGGAAAUGUGACACUGCAUCCACUGAACGUCAAGACGCAACAAAAAAUUGGCUGCAGAAUCUUGGAUCACAAACGUAAGUCCUACUUAAAAACAGCAAAAAAAA